AGCUGCUUAACCACUGAGUCACCCAGGUGCCCCAAAAACUCCUCUGAACCAGUUUGUCAUCUACUUUUUAUGGUUUUAUGUAGACUGCUACCUAUAUACACAAUGUUGUCCUUGCCUGGAACAUCGUCUUAUCUUCCCUCCACAGAUCCUUCAAAGCAAAACCAUUCCUGAGCCCUAUCUCAGCACAGCACAUUGGGAAAUCAAAACCAGAAGUUGCCUGCGACCAGCAGCCUCUGAGGAAGUGCCCUGCCCAUGUUGUCAUCAGCAACCUCUUUUGCGCCACCAUUUCACAUCACUUCUGGGAAGCUGCCUCCCACUUCCUAAGAUCUGUGCCAGUCUUGUCUGAGGACAUCACAGCAAACCACAGACCCAAAGGUCCUGCACUCCUUGUUACAUUCUGCCUGUCAGCUGUUCUCCAGACAACAUCAUGCCUGAAUAGCCAGCAUGCUCAUGGGAAGUCUCUCCACCCAACACGCCCUCUUGGAAUCAUCCCCAUCAGCCUCCAUCCCCAUCACCCUCAGCUGCUUGUCUUCUCAGUCAAAACUGUAAAGAACACAAACUGUUUCUUUAGGGACCCAACUUCUCUUUUCAGGGCCUUUAUCUCAAACUCAGUUUCUCCUUCCUGUCCCUUUGACUAGGGCAGAGUGCCCUUUCUUCUCUGUCCCUUAGUUCAGUUCUCAGAAAUCAAUCACAUACACUCAUUCACACCUCCACUUACAUGACCAAAAUGCUUCACAAUCAGACCCCUUCCUGGAGUCUCUUCAUUUUUAAUAGGAUCUUGAAGACUUAAAUCAAGGGAAGUAAAUUUCACUUGUGGAAUUCCAAGCACUAGCAAAGAGCUGAAGCAAGUCUUUGAGGGGCAGUACACAUUCUUGGUGCCCCUCAAAUUAUACCACUUGACAGUCCAGCCUUGUCUCUUCUUAUUCCAUCACCUGACACACUCAAGCUGUCUCCUCUGCCAGCCCAGAAGCCAGGCUCCCCUGGACCUGGGCCAGCACCCAAUGCCAUCUGGUCUCCCUUAGAAAGGCAAAAGAGAGACACCUCUUGUUUACUCAGUCAUAAUUCACUGUAAUAGUCACAUAACAGGUGUCACCAGCUCCAGAACAUACAGUAAGGGCACACCACACCCUCACCUCUGCCCCCAUCAUGGCUUACUCCUUGGGACAAAUCAACAAAUUUUAUUUGGAGAAUAGGACAGGGCCUCUUAAGCAGUAAACCAGAGUUACCAGUGGUGUUUUGACACUUGUGGAUUACACUGCAAUGAAAACUUAGAGGUAAAGAACAAAGGCUUUUUUUUAAAUCCUCCCCUACAGCCAACUGGUAUCCUUCCCACAUAUGUUGUUGCAGCAUCUCUAUAUAUAGAACCUAGCAUUCUAUAAACAGGUUGCUCUGGCUAAACAUGUCUCAACGAGUAAAACUGUGAGGUAGAGAAAGAUGUCAUCUCUCCAUCUUCUCUCCUUUCCCUAAAUCUUGUCAGAGACAGAAGAGCUCUGUGAAAACAGCAUGGGUUUUGGAACUGGACAGACCUGAGGAGAAAUAAAUCCUAGCUCAGCCUUUUAUUAGCUGUCUGACCUUGGACAAGUUACAUAACUUUUUUGACUUUCAGCUUGCCCAUGUGCAAAAGUGAAAAUGAUACUUCAUUGGUUUGCAUUAUGAUAAUUAAAUAAGAAAAUAUAUGAAAAGCAUCUAAUAUAUGUCUGGUUCUCCAGGGAUAGGAGUUUGUUCUCCCCUAUCUGGCUCAUCAUGCACCUUGGUGCCCUAAUGUUACUCUCUGGCUGUCCAAGGCCAAGGUGUGUGCCCCACACAAACCUAACCCUCUUUUCCUAAACCCUACUAAAAUUCCCAUCCCUUAGAAUAACUGAUCUAGGGCCGCCUGGGUGGCUCCAUCGGUUAAGCGUCCGACUCUUAAUUUCAGCU